ACAGAAGGGGAUUUAUAUAUACCAUGUCAUAAAAGUGGUUUUCCCAGGGGGAGGCUCAUCCAUUGCACUUUGGGUGUGCUGCUGAUCCCUGUGAUUUCCCCAAAUGUGGGGAACUCAACUGCAUAAUUUGUGUUAAUGGGAGAUUACAUUUGUGAUUUCCCU
rnacentral:snRNA from 1 species